AUGUGGACCUGAGGUUGGUACCUGCAGUUGGGGGCGAAGCAGUCUCGUGGGACGGAGACCUUCCUCUGUGGAUCCAGUGCCGCCUCCUGGGAGACAGUGUCUGAACUGAGGCUGUCAUAGGAGAUCGAAAAUCCAACCACAGGGACAACGUGGCCUUCAAAAAUCAUCACUGAUGCGAUGGAUGUGAGUUUGAACAAACUCUGGGAGUUGGUGAUGGACAGAGAAGCCUGGUGUGCUGCAGUCCAUGGGGGUGCAAAGAGUCAGACACAACUGAGCCACUGAACUGAACUGAAGCCUUUGAAAUCUCGUAUGGAUUUUGCACCCAUAGGACAUCUUGGUUUGGACCAGCCACAUUUCAAGUGCACAAUAACCACACGUGGCUCAUAGAUCCUGGGCCACACAGUUCUAGAUGAUUAUAAGAAGGACACUCAUUUGGAAAUGGCAUAAAGCAAAAAUCUGUGCUUUUCUUUCAAAUGUCAACAUUGAAGUCAUAAUCUCCCCUAAAUGUCUUAGGGUUAUCCUUUCUUAUUUUGUGGCAUUACUAAAUGAUCUUUCUUUAUAGACCUUUUUAGGAACUUUCUCUGUCCUUUUGAUUUGAUUCCCUUCUGGUUUAUGCAGUGAAGACUGUCACGAUGAAUUUUUCUUGAGGACAUUGAUAAUUAUUUACAGCUAUGGGGCUCUUAGCCAGUACUUGCUGUGGAGGUCUGGGGGAACACUGGGAAGACAGGGCUUCAUCUGACCUGGCUUCUCAAAGGUUGGUACCACCAAAGAAGAUUCUACCUAUAGUUAUUGCACUGAAAAGAAAGAUUACAUGUUAGUAAAAAUAUAUAUAUUUGAACUAUGUUAUAAUUACUGCAACUCUUUUUUUUGAUAUUUUUCCCUUUGAAAAAUAUCUAGGAACUUUAAAAAUGGCCUUUCUUUAUAGGUGAGUGGAAUAACAGAUCCUUUUACCUGACUAACCUCUUACUUCCAAUCUCUUUCUCUCUCUCUCUUUUUUUCUCUGACUCUAUUAGGCUGUUAAGACAACAAGAACAAACAUUAGUUUUCUUGUCUCCCUUGAAGUCAGUAGGUGGCCAUGUGAUAGUGUUGACCAGUGAGAUAUUAGCUCAAAUCUGCUAAUGUCUCUUCUUCCUUAUCCCUUUCUGGAACUCAAACACGAUAGCUGGCAAUGUGGCAGCCCUUUGGCACCAGGAGGCAGAUGGCAUGAGGAUGAAGGCCAGUACCCUGCAGAUGGUAGAGAAAAAGAUAGAUUUGGUAUCUGAUGGCAAUUUUGAGCUUCUUUGCCAGCCCUGUAACUACUUUCAGACUUCUUGUUACAUGCGACAAACAACUUUAUGUUUAAACCACUGUUAAUUGGCUUUUCUUAUAUGGACAGAAAAAUGAAUUUCUGUCUAAUGUAGAGGCCCUGACAGAACCACCGCUGAAACAAAGUAUGCCUUUGCUUUCUUGCCCGUCCCUACAAAUGGCUAAUUAAGCAGCCACCCAGAAACACAAUUAAAACAAAUACACGAAACACUACAAGUCUGAAGUUAGCAAUUCUCCAGAGACCCAAUUAGAUAUUUCUUUGAAAAGGUAAAGACUAAUCAAAUCAUUUACCUUUGUAUUCCAGCCCAGAAACCACUUAUUUGAAAUGACAAUAAUUUCUUACUCAGAUCAUCACUCUGUUCAUUUAAAGGGGAGAAAAAAAAUCAUUUAGGAUUACUCACCCUUGGGUCUCCAGAUCUUGCUUGAACCUGGCAUAUAGAAAGCAAUCAGCAAAUGUUUAUCACAUCAGUAAGUUGACAGAGUCAUGCAAAUAAAAAGAACUUCUUAUUCAGGAUUUGUUCAUUUUUAUCCCUUUUGAGGAAAACUUCUUCAAGCUUUUAGUAGCUGCCCCAGCCCACAGACUGUAUUGGCUCAGGAUGUCACUACCCCAAAGAUGCCUUCUGGAAGUUGUCUGAGACCUUCCCACGGGGCAGGGAGGUAGACAGACAAAAGCAACAAGCAACCUAAAUUAGGGGGUUGUUUUCUUCUGAAGAUUUUCCCCUCCCAGGGUGACUGCCCAGCACUUCUAAUAACUGUAAAUAAGAAGCUGUUACUUUCCAUGUCAUCUUCACUUUCUGAAACAAAUAACCCCAAAUGAGUACCUCUUAGAACCAUUGUUGUUCAGUCGCUCAGUCAGGUCUGACUCUUUGUGACCCCAUGGACUGCAGCAUGCCAGGCUUCCCUGUCCUUCACCAUCUCCUGGAGUUUGCUCAAACUCAUGUUCAUGGAGUCGAUGAUGAUGCCUUCCAACCAUUUAGAACCAUGUGGACCUUUUCUCCCUUCUCCAUGAGGGUGACCCUGAAGACACCUACUGUUGGAGGAUGGAAGCCUCAGGGAUUUGGAUCCCAAACAGGAGGAUCAAAAUCCAGUCUUAACACUUU